UUAUUAUAUAAUCUGUCAGCACAUGAGAUCUUCUCAAUGCAUGCCUUUUCAGGGGCUGAAGGGGAAUGUUUGCUACACUUCCAUUGCCUAUAAAUAAAACAAAACUAUGUAGAUGUUUUCCAAGUAUAGCAAAAGGAAGCAGCGGAGGAUUGGAGGAGACCCCAAUGUGUUGAAAGCGUGGCAUGACUUUUAUGCCGAAGUCUUCUUGGGGGAAUCAAUUUAAAUUCAUAAGCCGAUGCAUCACUUCAUUACCACCACAGAGGAUUACCGAGCAAAGAGGGUGGUGGGAGAAAAACGCAUUAAAAAUCAUGUAAACAAAAGCAGCGACUAAUUUAACACGACUCAUAAUGCGCCUGCUAUUACGCAGCUCCCAAUGGGAACGUGUUUAUUAUUAACUCUCAGCUGGGUGCAGUCGUGGUUAAAUCUUCUGCAAACGCAAUAAGCAGCACCUGAUGAUUCAGGUGGUGGCAUUUCUGAUACUGGAAGCACCAUUUCUCUGCUUCCUUCUUUCCCCCUUUAAUCCAUGCACAUUCACGUCUGUAAUAAUGAAGAUAUUCCUGAUGGGGAAAAUGAAUGGAAAUAGUGAAGAGAAGACUGAAGGGUUAACAUAACUGUACUCUUUAAAUAUAUCAGACAGCCCUGGAAAGAGGGGCAGGUUUAUUCUCUGCUGCCUCAAAGGAUGGGAUCAGGUCUAAUGGCCUGAAGUUUCAGGAGGGUAGAUUUUGAUUGGACUUUCUAAUUGUAAGAAUGGUACAGCGAUGGAUCCAAUUGCAUAGAAAGUUCAGAAUGUAUGGAAGAAGAGAGGUUGUAGGAUUGUGCACAGAUUCGGUUUGGUCAGUUCUCUUCAGCCAAUCUUGCUCAUUCAGGUAUAGGAGUCAGGUUUCCAUGAGAAGCUGAGAGCAAAUGGGAAGCUUGAAUGGGAAGAAAGAAGCAGCAAGAGAGUUGUAACUUUGAGCAAGCUAAGAUGAAUAUCCAAACGCCCCAUCUGCACUGCCAUAUAAUGCAGUUUGAAGCUACAUUGUAUGGUGAGUACAAUUAUAGACAUUAUAUGUCCACGCUGACCAUAUAAAGCAGUUUUAAACUGCAUUAUAAGACAGUGUAGGUGGGAUAUUAAUCUCUGCAUGCUGGGUUCAAAACAAGGAAUCAAUAGGGUGGGUCAUGCUGCAUGUCUGUAUCCAUGAACCUCCAAAUUGUCUGCUGACUUAUGAUUUUACUAGGAUCUUCUCAAGCUGUGCUUUGCUUAUGGGUAUGGAUUUGCCUUGGGCAGAGGCCCAUGCUCAGUGGCAGAUGUGUGUGCUUUAGCAACAGGAAAUCACAGAUUGAAUUCUUGGCAUGUCCUGGAUUUAGAUCUUUAAGCUGGGCAGCUAAUAAUGUGAAUGACCUUUCCUUCAGGAAUCACUGUUCAUCAAACUAGGCUAGAGAAACAACUAGACUGAAAUGACACAUCGAACUGAGUUUUGUUCCCUUCCUCACUUGUUGAGGGUCUACUUGUGUGUCUCUAAAUAAACCACAGGUUGGAAAGACAUUGGAGCCUAAACUGUAUUGUCUUCCCUUGCUAAAAUAUACCAAUUGAACCAAUGAGAUUGACCUAUGUUUUUUAUUAUGUCAGAAGCGACUCAAGAACAUACUGCUAGUCCCUUCUGGUGUGAGAGAAUUGGCCAUCUACAGAGACGUUGCCCAAGGGAUGCCCAGAUGUGUUAGCUGGGGGGCUUUUCUCAUAUCCUCACAAGCUAGAGCUGACAAACGGGAGCUUGCCCCAUCUCACAGAUUCGAACCAGAAACCUUCAGGUCAGAAACCCAACCUUCAGGUCAACCAGGCCUGGGCAAACUUUGGCUCUCCAGGUGUUUUGGACUUCAACUCCCAGAAAUUCCAGCUAGCUUACCAGCUGUUAGGAAUUGUGGGAGUUGGUCCAAAUCACCUGAGGGCCGAAGUUUGCCCAUGCCUGGUUUAACCCAUUACGCUACCGCAGCUCCAUUGACCUAUGAGUUCAUAUGCCAAUGGGACAGCUCUAGUGAAGACAACCAAGAGAAUUCAGAGCCAUCCAUUUCCAUCAUUCCAUCUUCCAAAGGAAAGUUUUGCAAUUGCUAGCAAUCGAAAAACACAGUAUUUACUAGUAAGCUUUGAAAUCUCUCACUCCUUAAGAAAAGAUGGACCAUGCAAUGCUUCCUCUGACUCCUAACUACCUGACCUUUCCCGCCUUGAUAUUGUCCUCCCAUCUCUUGAUACACUGGAAGGAAGAGAAAAAGGAAAGAGGCCUCCUCUAAAGAUCUACAUAUUCUUUUGGUUCCAAUUAAGCCCCAGCAAUUGUUCAUUAAACCAAUGUUUGCGGCCGCAUCCCUCCUCCUGGGGCAAUGCCGGAUGAAAGAAGCGUUCCAGGCCUCAGAUUGGAUUUGAUUUCCUUUCGCUCAGCGGCCAGCAUUUCAGUUUAAUGACCUGCCUUCCUUCUCCCUCCUCAUCCACCUUAAUCCUGGAGGUCGCCAGGGUAUAUUUCUCUCAGUGGCACACUUCAUUAGCAAUUCUCUGCAAGGGUGUCAGGAACAUACUGCUUCUGAAUAAUUGAGCAUGCUCUCCAGCAACUGGCCUGCUGUGGGUUGAUACGCUAAAGUCCCCAGAACUUUCUUUGGUCACACGGACGAAUGAUUGUGCGCUCGGCUUUCUGCGGAGCAAGAAAUUUCACUUCCACAUUAACACUUCCCCUCUUGUCUUUCCUCCCAAUCUAGCGUUCCAGCCACAGAUGGAUGCACAAGGAUAAACUUCUUGGAGUGCCUACUUUUUCCAAAUAUCCACUCCAGUGCAUACUGGGCUCCUUCUUCCACGAUUCUCCAAACUGCCUCACUUUCAAUGGGAGAUUUAAUUUAAGGAGGGAGAAAUAAUAACACAUCAUUAAAAAAAACUUAGCAAUGCUGAUUUUAGCCUUUUAAAUGCUACAGGAGCUAAAAUCAUAUUGACGUAAUCUUUGGUCAGUUAAAAAUAAGUACUGUAUAUACUCGAGUAUAAGCCUAGUUUUUCAGCCCUUUUUUUAAGCCUGAAAAAGCCCCACUCGGCUUAUACUCGGGUGAGGGUCCUGGUUGGCUUAUAUUUGGGUCAGCUUAUACUCGAGAAUAUAUGGUACAUUUAUUAUUUUCCUCUAUAAUUGUUGCUACUAUUACAUUUAUUUUACUCUAUUAUUAUUAUUACAGUAACGUCUCACUUAUCCAACAUAAACGGACCAGCAGAAUGUUGGAUGUGAUUAUGUUGGAUAAUAAGGAGGGAUCAAGGCAAAGCCUAUUAAACAUCAAAUUAGGUUAAGAUUGUACAAAUUAAGCACCAAAACAUCAUGUUAUACAACACAUUUGACAGAAAAAGUAGUUCAAUACGAAAUAAUGCUAUGUAGUAAUUCUGUGUUUACGAAUUUAGCACCAAAAUAUCACAAUUUAUUGAAAACAUUGACUACAAAAAUGCGUUGGAUAAUCCAGAACGUUGGAUAAGUGAGACUCUACUGUAUUUAUACAUUUAUUAUUUCACUGAUAUUAUUAUUAUUAUUAUUAUUAUUAUUGCAUUUAUUAUUUUACUCUGUUUAUUAUUACAUAUAUUAUUUUCCUGUAUUUAUUAUUAUUAUUAUUACAUGUAUUAUUUUACUCUAUUAUUAUUAAAAAGAUACAUAAGCACAUUUACCUUGAAGAAGAUGAGAAUAAUGAUUUGAUCAGAGUUGGACAGUCUUAUCUUAAAUUUGAGCUUUAUGUAAAUAUUCAAAAACAUUUAACCUAUUCAAUGUAAUUAUAUUGGUAUCUAUUUUUAUUUCUGAAAUUUAACACCCUCGGCUUAUACUGGAGACAAUGUUUUCCCUGUUUUUUUGUGGUAAAAUUAGGUACCUCGGCUUGUAUUUGGGUCGGCUUAUACUCGAGUAUAUAUGGUACUUUUUAUCUCCGAUAA